ensembl:snRNA U6 U6 spliceosomal RNA
AUGUUCGCUUCGGCAGCACAUAUACUAAAAUUGGAACGAUACAGAGAAGAUUAGCAUGGCCCCUGCACAAGGAAAAUGUUCAGGUUUCUAUUGAAAAAUCAUUCCUCA